rnacentral:rRNA from 1 species
UACGAAGGGGGCUAGCGUUGCUCGGAAUCACUGGGCGUAAAGCGCACGUAGGCGGCUUUUUAAGUCAGAGGUGAAAUCCUGGAGCUCAACUCCAGAACUGCCUUUGAUACUGGAGAGCUUGAGUCCGGGAGAGGUGAGUGGAACUGCGAGUGUAGAGGUGAAAUUCGUAGAUAUUCGCAAGAACACCAGUGGCGAAGGCGGCUCACUGGACCGCAACUGACGCUGAGGCGCGAAAGCUAGGGGAGCAAACAGG